CAAUAGCGUGUAUUAAAGUUGUUGCAGUUAAAAAGCUCGUAGUUGAAUUUCUGGGCGGCCCGCCGGUCUUCCAUGUGUUGUACUGGGCGGCGCCGGCCAUCCUUGUGGAGAGGGCUCGCAUUUGGUUGCGUGUCGGAUCUGCAUCAUUUACUGUGAAAAAAUUAGAGUGUUUAAAGCAGGCUGUCGCUUGAAUACAUUAGCAUGGAAUAAUAAGAUAGGACUUCGGUCUAUUUUGUUGGUUGCGAACCGAGGUAAUGAUUAAUAGGGAUAGUUGGGGGUAUUCAUAUUUAAUUGUCAGAGGUGAAAUUCUUGGAUUUAUGAAAGAUGAACAACUGCGAAAGCAUUUACCAAGGAUGUUUUCAUUAA
rnacentral:rRNA from 1 species